UCUGGUCGCUUAACGAUCAGACUUCCGGGGGAUACUGCUGAGCUAGGGACCGGGAGAGGCCGAGGGUAUUCCCGGGGUAGGGGUGAAAUCCUGUAAUCCCGGGAGGACCACCUGUGGCGAAGGCGCUCGGCUGGAACGGGUCCGACGGUGAGGGACGAAGGCCUGGGGAGCGAACCGGAUUAGAUACCCGGGUAGUCCAGGCUGUAAACGAUGCGGGCUAGGUGUCACCGGAGCUACGAGCUCCGGUGGUGCCGGAGGGAAGCCGUUAAGCCCGCCGCCUGGGAAGUACGGCCGCAAGGCUGAAACUUAAAGGAAUUGGCGGGGGAGCACUACAACGGGUGGAGCCUGCGGUUUAAUUGGAUUCAACGCCGGGAAGCUUACCGGGGGAGACAGCGGGAUGAAGGUCGGGCUGAAGACCUUACCAGACUAGCUGAGAGGUGGUGCAUGGCCGCCGUCAGUUCGUACUGUGAAGCAUCCUGUUAAGUCAGGCAACGAGCGAGACCCGCGCCCUCAGUUGCCAGCGGGUCCCUUCGGGGACGCCGGGCACACUGAGGGGACUGCCGGCGCUAAGCCGGAGGAAGGUGCGGGCAACGGCAGGUCCGUAUGCCCCGAAUCCCCCGGGCUACACGCGGGCUACAAUGGCCGGGACAAUGGGUACCGACCCCGAAAGGGGUGGGUAAUCUCCUAAACCCGGUCUAACCUGGGAUCGAGGGCUGCAACUCGCCCUCGUGAACCUGGAAUCCGUAGUAAUCGCGUCUCAAAAUG
rnacentral:rRNA from 1 species